rnacentral:rRNA from 1 species
UAGUCCACGCCGUAAACGAUGGUCACUAGUUGUUGGAGUCUUGUACUUCAGUGAUUAAGAGAAAUUGAUAAGUGACCCACCUGGGGAGUACGAUCGCAAGAUUGAAACUCAAAGGAAUUGACGGGGGCCCGCACAAGCGGUGGAGCAUGUGGUUUAAUACGAUGCAACGCGAAGAACCUUACCUGCCCUUGACAUACUCGGAACUUUCCAGAGAUGGAUUGGUGCCUUCGGGAGCCGAGAUACAGGUGCUGCAUGGCUGUCGUCAGCCCGUGUCGUGAGAUGUCGGGUUAAGUCCCUUAACGAGCGAAACCCUUAUCUCUAGUUGCCAGCGGGUAAUGCCGGGGACUCUAGAGAGACUGCCGGUGUCAAACCGGAGGAAGGUGGGGAUGACGUCAAGUCCUCAUGGCCUUUAUGUCUAGGGCUGCACACGUCCUACAAUGGUACGGACAAAUGGACGCUAAGCCGCGAGGUGGAGUAAAUCCAAAAACCGUGACCUCAGUUCGGAUUGCAGGCUGCAAC